UACGUAGGAUGCAAGCGUUGUCCGGAAUUAUUGGGCGUAAAGAGCGCGCAGGCGGUAUGACAAGUCAGAUGUGAAAGAGGCCGGCUUAACCGGCAAGGGUCAUUUGAAACUGUCAGACUAGAGUGCAGCAGAGGAUAGUGGAAUUCCCGGUGUAGUGGUGAAAUGCGUAGAUAUCAGGAGGAACACCAAUAGCGAAGGCAGCUCGCUGGGACGUUACUGACACUGAGGCGCGAAAGCGUGGGGAGCGAACAGG
rnacentral:rRNA from 1 species